AUGAACGCUGGCGGCAUGCCUAACACAUGCAAGUCGAACGAGGCCGCAAGGCCUAGUGGCGAACGGGUGAGUAACGCGUAGGAAUCUGCCCCGAACUGGGAAAUACCCAGCCGAAAGGUUGGCUAAUGUCCCAUAGUCUCGAAAGAGUAAAGGCGUAAGCCGGUUUGGGAGGAGCCUGCGUCCUAUCAGCUUGUUGGUGGGGUAAUGGCCUACCAAGGCAAUGACGGGUAGCUGGUCUGAGAGGACGGCCAGCCACAAUGGGACUGAGACACGGCCCAUACACCUACGGGUGGCAGCAGUUGGGGAUUGUUCACAAUGGACGAAAGUCUGAUGACGCAAUGCCGCGUGGAGGAAGACGGCCUUCGGGUUGUAAACUUCUUUUAUGUGGGACGAUUAUGACGGUACUACAUGAAUAAGGGCCUGCUAACUACGUGCCAGCAGCCGCGGUAAUACGUAGGGCCCGAGCGUUAUCCGGUAUUAUUGGGCGUAAAGAGUACGUAGGCGGUUACGUAAGACGAUGGUUAAAUCUCCGAGCUUAACUCGGAAAUCGCCGUUGUGACUGCAUAACUAGUCGAUAGCAGGGGCAAGCGGAAUUGUCGGUGUAGGAGUGAAAUCCGUUGAGAUCGACAAGAACACCAAUGGCGAAGGCAGCUUGCUAGGCUAUAUGAGACGCUGAGGUACGAAAGCGUGGGGAGCGAACGGGAUUAGAUACCCCGGUAGUCCACGCCGUAAACGAUGCACACUAGCUAUCAGAAGUAUCGACCCUUCUUGUAGCGAAGCUAACGCGUUAAGUGUGCCGCCUGGGGGAGUACGGUCGCAAGACUAAAACUCAAAGGAAUUGACGGGGGAUCGCACAAGCGGUGGAGCAUGUGGUUUAAUUCGACGACAAACGGAGAACCUUACCAGGGUUUGACAUCUACGGAAUUUCCUGGAAACAGGAAAGUGCCGGCGCAAAGUACGGGAUAGUAUCGCGUAUUUCGCGCCGGAACCGUAAGACAGGUGUUGCACGACUGUCGUCAGCUCGUGGCGUGAGCUGUACCGUUAAGUCGGUAAACGAGCGAAACCCUCAUCGUCUGUUGGAUUUUUCAGACGAGACUGCCCUCUUGCGAGGGAGGAAGGCGGGGACGACGUCAAGUCAGCGUGGCCCUUACACCCUGGGCUACACACGUGCUACAAUGGCAUCGACAAAGGGAAGCAAAGCCGUGAGGCGGAGCCAAUCCCAUCAAAAGAUGCCCCAGUUCGGAUUGAAGGCUGCAACUCGCCUUCAUGAAGCCGGAAUCGCUAGUAACCGUGGGUCAGCUAUACCACGGUGAAUACGUUCUCGAUCCUUGUACACACCGCCCGUCAAGUGAGCUGAGUUGGCAAUGCCCGAAUUCUGCUUUUUUAUUCGGAACACGGCAGGGUCAGCAAGGAGCACU
rnacentral:rRNA from 1 species